UGGGGAAUAUUGCACAAUGGGCGCAAGCCUGAUGCAGCCAUGCCGCGUGUAUGAAGAAGGCCUUCGGGUUGUAAAGUACUUUCAGCGGGGCGGAAGGUGUUGAGGUUAAUAACUUCAGCAAUUGACGUUACCCGCAGAAGAAGCACCGGCUAACUCCGUGCCAGCAGCCGCGGUAAUACGGAGGGUGCACGCGUUAAUCGGAAUUACUGGGCGUAAAGCGCACGCAGGCGGUCUGUCAAGUCGGAUGUGAAAUCCCCGGGCUCAACCUGGGAACUGCAUUCGAAACUGGCAGGCUAGAGUCUUGUAGAGGGGGGUAGAAUUCCAGGUGUAGCGGUGAAAUGCGUAGAGAUCUGGAGGAAUACCGGUGGCGAAGGCGGCCCCCUGGACAAAGACUGACGCUCAGGUGCGAAAGCGUGGGGAGCAAACA
rnacentral:rRNA from 1 species